GCUUAACGCGAAGAACCUUACCUACUCUUGACAUCCAGAGAACUUAGCAGAGAUGCUUUGGUGCCUUCGGGAACUCUGAGACAGGUGCUGCAUGGCUGUCGUCAGCUCGUGUUGUGAAAUGUUGGGUUAAGUCCCGCAACGAGCGCAACCCUUAUCCUUUGUUGCCAGCGGUUCGGCCGGGAACUCAAAGGAGACUGCCAGUGAUAAACUGGAGGAAGGUGGGGAUGACGUCAAGUCAUCAUGGCCCUUACGAGUAGGGCUACACACGUGCUACAAUGGCGUAUACAAAGAGAAGCGACCUCGCGAGAGCAAGCGGACCUCAUAAAGUACGUCGUAGUCCGGAUUGGAGUCUGCAACUCGACUCCAUGAAGUCGGAAUCGCUAGUAAUCGUAGAUCAGAAUGCUACGGUGAAUACGUUCCC
rnacentral:rRNA from 1 species